UACGAAGGGGGCUAGCGUUGCUCGGAAUUACUGGGCGUAAAGGGCGCGUAGGCGGGUCGUUAAGUUGGGGGUGAAAGCCCGGGGCUCAACCCCGGAAUUGCCUUUGAGACUGCAUCGCUAGAAUUGUGGAGAGGUAAGUGGAAUUCCGAGUGUAGAGGUGAAAUUCGUAGAUAUUCGGAAGAACACCAGUGGCGAAGGCGACUUACUGGACACAUAUUGACGCUGAGGUGCGAAAGCGUGGGGAGCAAACAGG
rnacentral:rRNA from 1 species